rnacentral:rRNA from 1 species
AUGAACGCUGGCGGCGUGCCUAAUACAUGCAAGUCGAGCGAACAGACGAGGAGCUUGCUCCUCUGACGUUAGCGGCGGACGGGUGAGUAACACGUGGAUAACCUACCUAUAAGACUGGGAUAACUUCGGGAAACCGGAGCUAAUACCGGAUAAUAUAUUGAACCGCAUGGUUCAAUGGUGAAAGACGGUUUUGCUGUCACUUAUAGAUGGAUCCGCGCCGCAUUAGCUAGUUGGUAAGGUAACGGCUUACCAGGGCAACGAUGCGUAGCCGACCUGAGAGGGUGAUCGGCCACACUGGAACUGAGACACGGUCCAGACUCCUACGGGAGGCAGCAGUAGGGAAUCUUCCGCAAUGGGCGAAAGCUUGACGGAGCAACGCCGCGUGAGUGAUGAAGGUCUUCGGAUCGUAAAACUCUGUUAUUAGGGAAGAACAAAUGUGUAAGUAACUAUGCACGUCUUGACGGUACCUAAUCAGAAAGCCACGGCUAACUACGUG